rnacentral:miRNA from 1 species
CCUGAUGGCAACUUUUCCUAUGGAUAUAACUGUUGCCUUCAGUUUUCUUAAACAAUCAAAAUGCUUCUUUAAGAAAACUGAAGGCAACAGUUAUAUCCAUAGGAAAAGUUGCCAUCAGGAUU